AAUGGCAAAUUAUCAUUAGAGAUUUAAUGGAAAAUGAAAGGCUCUGCUGGUCAAGUUCAGAAGAAUUAGUGUCACUGGCUGAUACUGACAGAACCCAACAACACUGCGCACAAGAAUGAAGGAAAGCCAAAUUAAAACAGCAUCCAUUGAAACAGAUUCAUCAGAGGCUUAAGGAUUACACAGUCAUUAAAAGCAGGUCUCAGCCCUUCAGGUGAAGCGCAACAAGCAGCACCACACCUGAAGAACCUCACCAGGGCCACAGACUAUGACUACGGGUCUAACCAGCUGGGGUACCAAAAGCAACAGAGUGGGCAGUAGAAAUAAAGACACCGUGUAACUCCUGCUUGAAAUAGCAGUGUUCCUUUAGCUUCUACAAAAAAAAAAAAAAAAAAAGUCAUUAUGAUAUUGACAAUGUUCUGAGUCUCUUGCUUUCUUUCUGUAGCAUGCUACCACCAUGGAUUUUGACUUCUUGUGUAAUAAUAAGAGUAUGGUUUAGGGAAAAGUUUUACAUCUGUGGGAUAUGGAGACAAUCUUCA